AAACGAGGAAGUGAAGUCAAGUCCGCCAUUUCAUCUUCUUCUUUUUAUCGGAAAAGAAAGGAAUCAUGCAAGGAUGCAAGCUGAAGGAAAGGACAACUCUCACAUCAGUGCAUUACUAAUUGUUUGACUUCAUCAUCAAGCACACCAGCUCAGAUUGUGAUGGACCUGGAAUGCGACACCAGUUACU